rnacentral:tRNA from 1 species
GGGGAAGCGACGGAGUUAGAGAGCCGUACCAGACUGUAAAUCUGGCGUCAUUCGACUGAGUGGGUGCGAAUCCAACCUUCCCCACCA